UCCUUUAAGUCAGUCCGGGCUUUAUGAUGCUUUUCAAACCAGACAAAUGCCUCACGGGUGGCUGUAAGGAUCCACUUGGUGUUGCAGCAAGUGGAGCUGACUUGAGGAGUGUCCAGCACGUCUUUGCCCACCUUUUGAAAAAA